GACGGGGGAUGCAAGUGUUAUCCGGAAUCACUGGGCGUAAAGCGUCUGCAGGUGGUUUCCUAAGUCCACUGUUAAACCCUUGAGGCUCAACCUCAAAUCUGCAUUGGAAACUAGGAGACUUGAGUAUAGUAGGGGUAGAGGGAAGUUUCCAGUGGAGCGGUGAAAUGCGUAGAUAUUGGAAAGAACACCGAUGGCGAAGGCAGCUCUACUGGGGCUAUUACUGACACUCAGAGACGAAAGCUAGGGGGAGCAAAUGGG
rnacentral:rRNA from 1 species